CAGUAGCCGCGGUAAUACGUAGGUGGCAAGCGUUGUCCGGAAUUAUUGGGCGUAAAGGGCUCGCAGGCGGUUUCUUAAGUCUGAUGUGAAAGCCCCCGGCUCAACCGGGGAGGGUCAUCGGAAACUGGGAAACUUGAGUGCAGAAGAGGAGAGUGGAAUUCCACGUGUAGCGGUGAAAUGCGUAGAGAUGUGGAGGAACACCAGUGGCGAAGGCGACUCUCUGGUCUGUAACUGACGCUGAGGAGCGAAAGCUUGGGGAGCAAACAGGAUUAGAUACCCGGGUAGUCCCUGUCUCUUAUAA
rnacentral:rRNA from 1 species